GCAUAUCAAUAAGCGGAGGAAAAGAAAACAACUGUGAUUCCCUUAGUAAUGGCGAAUGAAACGGGAACAGCCCAUCGCGUAACUGCAGGUCAUCUUGGCCUUGUGGAAUGUCGCGUUUGGGAGAGUCUCAUCGGGAGCUGGUACAGCCAGUCAAAGUCCAACUUGACAGUGGCCACUGCCCAUAGAGGGUGAUAGGCCCGUAAGGCGGCCGUCCGUUUCCGCCGACUCCUCCCCAGAGUCGGGUUGCUUGGGAGUGCAGCCCAAAGUGCGAGGUAAACUCCUCGUAAGGCUAAAUAUGACCUCGAGACCGAUAGCAAACAAGUACCGUGAGGGAAGAUUGAAAAGAACUUUGAAGAGAGAGUUCAAUAGUACGCGAAACUGUGUGGUGGUAAACAGAGGGGUUCUCGAAGUUUCUGAGGGGAACUCAACCUUGGUGUCGGGCGGUCCGGGUGUAUCUGAUCAGCAAUGACUGUGCGCUCUGUCCGGCUUGGCUCUCGGGUGCACUUCCCCCUCAGUUUACGGCAGGAACUGUUUGGCACGGACCGAAGGCCACGGGUGAAGUUGUCGCUUCUGGUGGCAGCCCUGUGUCUCCUGGCUCUGAGCCCGAAAGGUAUGUGAGAGGACUCGUAUAGCGAGCAAUGCUCUGUUGCAGUUCUCAUCUCUCUGCCGAGUAGGUCGGUGGCCCCUCUGACCCGUCUUGAAACACUGACC
rnacentral:rRNA from 1 species